AAUAACCUAAGUAUACGGAGAUCGUAAUUUCUUACAUUUGAUUCUUUAGUUGGUAUAACUAUUCCAUUUUAUACCACGUUUAUCUGUACCACUGAUAAUGUUCUUGCACUAUAGUAACAUUAUUAUAACAUUAGGAAUUUUAAUGGCCUAGGUACAUUGGGAGUUAAAUUAAGCAAUUAUAUGAUGAUAGAAUCAAAAAUGGUCAACCGUUUAUCUAAAUAUCCUUAUUAAGAUGAAUAAUAACUAGUUCAUAAUGGAAUUAUACUUAGUCAAAUGUAACAUUAUACUGAAGUUUCAUCACGAGAAUGAUGUUGAUAUUGUAUAUUUUUGUUCUUAUCGUUUCGAACAUAAUCUAUGGAUUUGAAAUGGGAAAGGAUGAAAAUAAUUUCGGACCAUAUGACAUUAGAUGGACCAGAUAUAAUAUAUGCCCAGGAUCCAAAUCAAAGAAUUCGACUAAUAUAACAUUCGCAUUGGUAAAGGAAAAUGAUGAUUAUUUUGCCAAACUAACAAUUGAUGUCUUGGUUAAAACUUCAAUCGAUGAGGUAAAAGUGUGGGUUUACAAAUUGAAAAAUGAAAACAAAAGCUUGCUGUGGGUAUAUAAGUCGAGCGAUGCUUGCAAACACUUUAUUUUCGGUGAGAUAAUUAAAAAACAAUUGAAUGCCAGAAGUUGUGUUAUCG